rnacentral:misc_RNA from 1 species
GAUGGAGAACGUAGCGAAAUGCGAUACUUGGUGUGAAUUGCAGAAUCCCGUGAACCAUCGAGUCUUUGAACGCAAGUUGCGCCCGAAGCCAUCAGGUUGAGGGCACGUCUGCCUGGGCGUCACAUAUCGUUGCUCGAUGCCUAUCGCAUUGCGAUAGGACUUAGGGCGAAUGAUGGCUUCCCGUGAGCGUUGUUGCCUCGCGGUUGGUUGAAAAUCGAGUCCUUGGUAGGGUGUGCCAUGAUAGAUGGUGGUCGAGUUAGCACGAGUCCGAUCAUGUGCAUGCUCCCCAAAAUAUGGCCUCUGUGACCCACACGCGUCUUUUGACGAUCAUGACGAGACCUCAGGUCAGGCGGGGCUACCCGCUGAAUUUAAGCAUAUCAAUAAGCGGAGGA